AGUUAUGUUAGUCCCACUGGUUUCUGCUACUAGUUAUGUUAGUCCCACUGGUUUCUGCUACUAGUUAGUGUUAGUCCCACUGGUUUCUGCUACUAGUUAGUGUUAGUCCCACUGGUUUCUGCUACUAGUUAGUGUUAGUCCCACUGGUUUCUGCUACUGUUAAAGUGUUAGUCCCACUGGUUUCUGCUACUAGUAAAAGUGUUAGUCCCACUGGUUUCUGCUACUAGUUAGUGUUAGUCCCACUGGUUUCUGCUACUAGUUAGUGUUAGUCCCACUGGUUUCUGCUACUAGUUAGUGUUGUCCACUGGUUUCUGCUACUAGUUAGUGUUAGUCCCACGGUUUCUGCU
rnacentral:lncRNA from 1 species